GACGAACGCUGGCGGCGUGCUUAACACAUGCAAGUCGAACGGAAAGGCCCUGCUUUUGUGGGGUGCUCGAGUGGCGAACGGGUGAGUAACACGUGAGUAACCUGCCCUUGACUUUGGGAUAACUUCAGGAAACUGGGGCUAAUACCGGAUAGGAGCUCCUGCUGCAUGGUGGGGGGUGGAAAGUUUCGGCGGUUGGGGAUGGACUCGCAGCUUAUCAGCUUGUUGGUGGGGUAGUGGCUUACCAAGGCUUUGACGGGUAGCCGGCCUGAGAGGGUGACCGGCGACAUUGGGACUGAGAUACGGCCCAGACUCCUACGGGAGGCAGCAGUGGGGAAUAUUGCACAAUGGGCGGAAGCCUGAUGCAGCAACGCCGCGUGCGGGAUGACGGCCUUCGGGUUGUAAACCGCUUUCGCCUGUGACGAAGCGUGAGUGACGGUAAUGGGUAAAGAAGCACCGGCUGACUACGUG
rnacentral:rRNA from 1 species